rnacentral:rRNA from 1 species
CAGCAGCCGCGGUAAUACGUAGGGCGCAAGCGUUAUCCGGAAUUAUUGGACGUAAAGAGCUCGUAGGCGGUUUGUCGCGUCUGCCGUGAAAGUCCGGGGCUCAACCCCGGAUCUGCGGUGGGUACGGGCAGACUAGAGUGAUGUAGGGGAGACUGGAAUUCCUGGUGUAGCGGUGAAAUGCGCAGAUAUCAGGAGGAACACCGAUGGCGAAGGCAGGUCUCUGGGCAUUAACUGACGCUGAGGAGCGAAAGCAUGGGGAGCGAACAGGAUUAGAUACCCCAGUAGUCCCUGUCUCUUAUAU